rnacentral:rRNA from 1 species
UACGUAGGGUGCAGCGUAUUCGAAUUGAACUGGGCGUAAAGCGUGCGCAGGCGGUUUUGUAAGCCAGAUGUGAAAUCCCCGGGCUUAACCUGGGAAUGGCAUUUGGGACUGCAAGGCUGGAGUGCGGCAGAGGAGACUGGAAUUCCUGGUGUAGCAGUGAAAUGCGUAGAUAUGCGGAGGAACACCGAUGGCGAAGGCAAUCCCCUGGGCCUGCACUGACGCUCAUGCACGAAAGCGUGGGGAGCAAACAGG